GGGGCAGUAGCUCAGCUGGGAGAGCGCCAGAAUCGCACUCUGGAGGCCGGCGGUUCGAUCCCGCUCUGCUCCACCA
rnacentral:tRNA from 4 species